rnacentral:sRNA from 1 species
CUUCGGAACCAAAAAGAAGCUUCCCAGAGCCGGGGCCAGGAGCCCCAAGCGCCCUCUAGCAGCAAACACAGAAGGUAUAGGGAGGGAGGAGUCCGGGGCUGGCGGGGUGGCUGGAGGCCCCGGGCUUGCACCCCAGCACCCUCUCCUUACCCAACAGGAGCUCUGUGUGUCGUCUGAGCAGUCGAGAGAAGAUUUCCCUCCAGGACUUGUCCAAGGAGCGCCGGCCUGGUGGGGCUGGGGGGCCCCCCAUCCAGGACGA